rnacentral:tRNA from 1 species
ACCGACCUUAGCUCAGUUGGUAGAGCGGAGGACUGUAGUGGGUAAAUGGGUAAAACCGUCAGAUAUCCUUAGGUCGCUGGUUCGAAUCCGGCAGGUCGGAU